UUUUAUGGAGAGUUUGAUCCUGGCUCAGGAUGAACGCUGGCGGCGUGCCUAAUACAUGCAAGUCGAGCGAACAGACGAGGAGCUUGCUCCUCUGACGUUAGCGGCGGACGGGUGAGUAACACGUGGAUAACCUACCUAUAAGACUGGGAUAA
rnacentral:rRNA from 2 species